GUGGCCCUGAAUCAAGGCUCGCAGCCCUCGCCGCUGCGGGCUUCAAGCAGGAGCCUAGAGGAAGCCUUUCUAGGUCUGUUGUCCAUCUCCGCGUCCGCAGUGCGGUGGUCAAUUCAUUAGAAAGGAACACGC